GUGGUUUUAUUUCUAAGAUGACUACUCUACUACUUGAGUGAACUUUCUCUUCUAAGAUGUCUCUAAUUUCUAAGAAAUUUAAAUUGAUUAAAUUGAAGGUUUACAAAUACGUUGCUUAGUUUAUUUUAAAAUGCUUCCUACCAAAUAACCCUAUCCUACCCGAAAAUUAGCUAAUGAUUUUCAACCCUUCUCACUUAGUUUACUUUUCCCUCCUUUCCUACUAAACACACUUAACCUAUAUAUCCUAUACUGCCCUACAUUAAGCAGAAGCUCUGACAUUUUUUUAGGGGAGAUUGUGGCCAAGUAAAAUAAAAGUGACAAAUAUAUGGUCAGACUGAAUUCAUGGUCAUUGUUGGUAAAUAUCCAGAAGUUGAAAUGGAAGAUGAAUUUCCUUACGAUAAUUCUUGAUGGAAGUGUGUUAUUUUGAGAGGAUGGAGGUUUUAUAUGGGAGUUUGAUCAAUAGAUCUUAAGAGGAAAAUGCGCUCGUGAUGGCAUUUAAAUCUUAUAGGGUGUCCCUCUUUAAACCAGAUAGGAGGAUUUCUCUCAUUCCUUUAAAAAGUUUUUUCAAGAGGCCUCGGCUAUAAACAUAAUUGAGACUGUUUUCUAAUGCAAGAGGCAGGUGGAGCAAUUCUUGGAUCCAUUGUUGGAGGGUCUGAUGUUGAAAACAUGAAUGAUGCGCACAAGAGGUAGCCACGAGAAGCAUUUCAGGUGGAUUCAUUAAUAUCAGCAAGAAUUGGAUCUGGAGUAUGUUGAGAAAGUUAUGCAUCUUCUUCAAAGGAUACUAUAGACCUAAUUGGGUGUGGUGCUGAUGCCUUGGUGGAAGUGUUGUGGAAGUGUGUGGUGAUUAUUUCUGAAGAGUUAUGCACAUGUGGCUCUAUUGGACAACAUGCUCAUUUAUGGUUUUGAAAGCUUUAAGACUAAAUGAUAAGUUGCAACAACAUUUCCAUAAGGGUUGCAAAGAGCUCUACCAUUGGGAAAGGUACAACAAAAAAAAAUGUCAUGAUGCUACCAUAGUUGAUUAUUCCAAUGUUUAAAGUGGACAAGAAGUGUUCAUUCAAAGAAAGAGAUUAAGAGAAAGGUUGCUAGUCAUUGAUUAAUUUAGUCAAUUGAGUUAUAUAUGCUCUUUUUAAUUGUACUAAUAAGUAGCAAUUUAUUCUAUUUUAUAUUGAA